rnacentral:rRNA from 1 species
AACGAACGCUGGCGGCGUGCCUAACACAUGCAAGUCGAACGAGAAAGGGGCUUCGGCUCCGAGUAAAGUGGCGCACGGGUGAGUAACACGUAGGUAACCUGCCUCUAAGAUUGGGAUAACCUGUCGAAAGACGAGCUAAUACCGAAUAAGACCACGGCUUCCUCGGAAGCAGGGGUCAAAGGUAGCCUCUACUUGUAAGCUAUCACUUAGAGAUGGGCCUGCGUACCAUUAGCUAGNGGUGGGUAACGGCCUACCAAGGCAAAGAUGGUUAGCUGGUCUGAGAGGAUGAUCAGCCACACUGGAACUGAGACACGGUCCAGACUCCUACGGGAGCAGCAGUGGGGAAUAUUGCGCAAUGGGCGAAAGCCUGACGCAGCAACGCCGCGUGAGUGAUGAAGGCCUU